CUACGGGGCGCUGCAGUGAGGAAUAUUGCACAAUGGGGGGAACCCUGACGCAGCAACGCCGCGUGGAGGAUGACGCAUUUCGGUGUGUAAACUCCUUUUAUAUGUCAAGAAAAUGACGGUAGCAUAUGAAUAAGCACCGGCUAACUCCGUGCCAGCAGCCGCGGUAAUACGGAGGGUGCAAGCGUUAAUCGGAAUUACUGGGCGUAAAGGACGCGUAGGCGGGUUGGAAAGUCAGGUGUGAAAUCCUACAGCUUAACUGUAGAACUGCACUUGAAACUUCUAAUCUAGAGUAUGGGAGGGGGAGAUGGAAUUAGUGGUGUAGGGGUAAAAUCCGUAGAUAUCACUAGGAAUACCUAAAGCGAAGGCGAUCUCCUGGAACAUUACUGACGCUAAGGCGUGAAAGCGUGGGGAGCAAACAGGAUUAGAUACCCUCGUAGUC
rnacentral:rRNA from 1 species